rnacentral:rRNA from 1 species
ACGGUGGAGUAACGCGUAUCCAACCUGCCGUCUACUCUUGGACAGCCUUCUGAAAGGAAGAUUAAUACAAGAUGGCAUCAUGAGUCCGCAUGUUCACAUGAUUAAAGGUAUUCCGGUAGACGAUGGGGAUGCGUUCCAUUAGAUAGUAGGCGGGGUAACGGCCCACCUAGUCUUCGAUGGAUAGGGGUUCUGAGAGGGAGGUCCCCCACAUUGGAACUGAGACACGGUCCAA